UAACUACUCCCUCCAUCUUAAAAUUCUUGUCUUAGAUUUGUCUAGAUAUAAAUGUAUCUAGUCAUGUUGUAGCAUUUAGAUACAUUUAUUUCUAGACAAACCUAAGACAAGAAUUUUGGGACGGAGAAAGUAAUAA
rfam:Hordeum vulgare subsp. vulgare, WGS project CAJW01000000 data, contig: morex_contig_123947